rnacentral:rRNA from 1 species
GACGAACGCUGGCGGCGUGCUUAACACAUGCAAGUCGAACGGAAAGGCCUGCUUUCCCUUGUGGAUUGCGGGUACUCGAGUGGCGAACGGGUGAGUAACACGUGAGUGAUCUGCCCCCAACUUGGGUAUAAGCCUGGGAAACUGGGUCUAAUUCCCGAUAGGACUGCAGGGUGGUGCCUGUGGUGGAAAACGAUUUUCUAGUGGUUGGGGAUGAGCUCGCGGCGUAUCAGCUUGUUGGUGGGGUAAUGGCCUACCAAGGCGGCGACGGGUAGCCGGCCUGAGAGGGUGGACGGUCACAUUGGGACUGGGACACGGCCCAGACGCCUACGGGAGGCAGCAGUGGGGAAUAGUGGACAGUGGGCGGAAGCCUGAUGCAGCGACGCCGCGUGGGGGAUGACGGCCUUCGGGUGGUAAACUCCUUUCGACCGGGAGGAAGCCACCUGGUUGGAAGGGUGGUGACGGUAGUGGGAGAAGAAGCACCGGCUAACUACGUG